GAGAAAAUUCUGCUUCGGCGGGAUGAGUACAGUGGCGCACGGGUGAGUAACGCGUGGGUAACCUGCCCUUGAAUCGGGGAUAACUUCGCGAAAGCGUAGCUAAUACCGGAUACUGUUCCCAAGGCUGUGGCCCUGGGGAUGAAAGGUGACCUCUUCAUGAAAGUUGCCGUUUGGGGAGGGGCUCGCGUACCAUUAGCUUGUUGGCGGGGUAAUAGCCCACCAAGGCGACGAUGGUUAGCUGGUCUGAGAGGAUGAUCAGCCACACUGGAACUGAAACACGGUCCAGACUCCUACGGGAGGCAGCAGUGAGGAAUUUUGCGCAAUGGGGGAAACCCUGACGCAGCAACGCCGCGUGAGUGAAGAAGGCUUUCGGGUCGUAAAGCUCUGUCAAGUGGGAAAAAAUACUAUCGAUAAAUAGUCGAUAGGAUUGAUGGUACCAUUAGAGGAAGCACCGGCUAACUCCGUGCCAGCAGCCGCGGUAAUACGGAGGGUGCGAGCGUUGUUCGGAAUUAUUGGGCGUAAAGAGCGUGUAGGCGGUUUGGUAAGUCAGAUGUGAAAGCCCUGGGCUCAACCCAGGAAGUGCAUUUGAUACUGCCAUCCUUGAGUAUGGGAGAGGAGAGUGGAAUUCCCAGUGUAGAGGUGAAAUUCGUAGAUAUUGGGAAGAACACCCGUGGCGAAGGCGACUCUCUGGACCAAUACUGACGCUGAGACGCGAAAGCGUGGGGAGCAAACAGGAUUAGAUACCCUGGUAGUCCACGCCGUAAACGAUGGGUACUAGGUGUUGCGGGUAACCACUCCUGCAGUGCCGUAGCUAACGCAUUAAGUACCCCGCCUGGGGAGUACGGCCGCAAGGCUAAAAC
rnacentral:rRNA from 1 species